rnacentral:rRNA from 1 species
AGCAGCCGCCGCGGGAAUACGGAGGGGGCAAGCGUUAUCCGGAAUUAUUGGGCGUAAAGGGUACGUAGGUGGCCUUUUAAGCGUAGGGUAUAAGGCAAUGGCUCAACCAUUGUUCGCCCUAUGAACUGGAAGGCUUGAGUGCAGGAGAGGAAAGCGGAAUUCCUAGUGUAGCGGUGGAAUGCAUAGAUAUUAGGAGGAACAUCAGCGGCGAAGGCGGCUUUCUGGACUGCAACUGACACUGAGGUACGAAAGCGUGGGGAGCAAACAGGAUUAGAUACCCCUGUAGUCCCUGUCUCUUAUACC